rnacentral:rRNA from 1 species
AUACGUAGGGUGCGAGCGUUAAUCGGAAUUACUGGGCGUAAAGGGUGCGCAGGCGGUUUUGUAAGUCAGAUGUGAAAUCCCCGGGCUUAACCUGGGAAUGGCGUUUGAAACUGCAAGGCUAGAGUGUAGCAGAGGGGAGUGGAAUUCCGCGUGUAGCAGUGAAAUGCGUAGAUAUGCGGAGGAACACCGAUGGCGAAGGCAGCUCCCUGGGCUAACACUGACGCUCAUGCACGAAAGCGUGGGGAGCAAACAGAAUUAGAUACCCUGGUAGUCCACGCCCUAAACGAUGUCAACUAGUUGUCGGGCCUAAUUGAGGGUUUGGUAACGUAGCUAACGCGUGAAGUUGACCGCCUGGGGAGUACAAUCGCAAGAUUAAA